GCUUUGUACGAUUUCUCAUUUUUUUUUGUGUGUUUUGAAAUGGUUUCUUCUUGUGCUUUAGUAAUUUGUAUGGCUGCUGCCAGUUAUGAAGCUGGAAUGUAGGUGUAUGUUUGAAGUAUAGUCUUCUCUUGUUUCGAUCAUCUUGUCUUAAGUUUAUUCAUGUUGUUCACUUCGCUCGAGUUGUUCGUUUAGGCCUGGACGAGCUUGUAAGUAGUAUAAUGUUUGUUUUGAUCUAUAGACACUCUAGUUCCUUCAAUCAUAUUUGUUUGUGAAUGUGUAAGUUCGAACGAGAAAACUCGUAUUGUUUGUCGAAUAGCCUUUAUAUUUGCUUAAGAAUGUUAUGGUAAAGUUUAAUGACCUUGUAUCUGUAGCCCUUCUUUGCUUGAACCUCUCCUAAUCGAGUUUUUUUUAUUUCUAAUAUAUGUCGGUGAUUCUUUCUUUAUCGUAUUCUUAGUUGUCGUAUGGGGGUAGAAG
rnacentral:misc_RNA from 1 species